rnacentral:rRNA from 1 species
UACGUAGGGUGCAAGCGUUAAUCGGAAUUACUGGGCGUAAAGCGUGCGCAGCCGGUUCGCUAAGACAGAUGUGAAAUCCCCGGGCUUAACCUGGGAACUGCAUUUGUGACUGGCGGGCUAGAGUAUGGCAGAGGGGGGUAGAAUUCCACGUGUAGCAGUGAAAUGCGUAGAGAUGUGGAGGAAUACCGAUGGCGAAGGCAGCCCCCUGGGCCAAUACUGACGCUCAUGCACGAAAGCGUGGGGAGCAAACAGG